GGGGUGGGAUGCUUGUACUUUUUUUGGAGUCUGUCUCCAUGGGGGUUUUCAUUACUUGCAUUUCUUUCCCUCGUGUGCUAUCUAGGAGAACCUUUAUAGUUAGGGUUUCUGUAUAAUGUUUUCCCUUUCAUCUUUUGAUUGUAUAAUGUGGUACAUAUUGUUCUUGUGGAAAGAAAAUGGUUGAAUCAAUAGUUGUUGGUUGGAAUAUGUAAAAUAAUGAUCCAUUAG
rnacentral:lncRNA from 1 species